UCCAGCUCUUCCUCCUCUCCAGCUCUUCCUCCUCUCCAAGCAGAGCAGACCAUGGGAACGCUCCCGAGGUUUCUGCCUGCUCCUGCCUGGCAGCUCAGCCCUGCUGUCCCCUCCUGCCCCUGGGGGUGAGGACCUGCUGGGUGCUCUACUCCAGCUCGAUCCUCCUGCACAUGAGGUCUGACUUCCCAAUGGCUUUUUUUAGCACAGUGUGAGCCUUGCCUGACAUUUCUCCUGAACUAAAUAAAUCCCCGACUCGAUUUACACUCACUCACCCUGCCAGCAAUGCCCAAGGGUGGCACUUCUGACAUUGCUUCAAGGAACGGGCACGGAUCCAGCCUCACCUUAUCCCAGGGGAUAAAUACACAGCAGGGGCUGCAGCUUUACCCCAGUUUGGAUUUUCAGAAAGCCACCAGGAAUCUGCCCUGCUUUGCCUCUCUGGGAUCUGGCUCUCAGCACUCGACUGUCCCUGUCCUCACCAGCUCUGCUCUGUCAUGGUUUGAGAGUGUGAAGUCAAAUGUCACAGCAGCUCCUACCUGACAUGGGAACCAUAGCUACAAAUGAAGACCUUCAGUUCAGCAAGCUGUCAGCUAAGGAGAGCUGGGAAGGAGCUGUGCCAUCCCACAGGGUGGAUUUGUCUCCUGGGAGGAGCAGAGCAGGACCCAGCAGCUCCUGGAGCCUUCUUCCCAUCUUGGAGAAUGCUGUCCUUCGCUCAGAUCCCACAAGGAUGUAAAUCCAGCUGAGUUUUGGAAAGGAUGAGUAAGUCUUUACUCUUACAAGAGCUCCUUUGGAUAGAGGAGUCAAGAUUUCCUUGGCAGCCAAAAUUCAUUGGCUCUGCUGGAUUUUGCCUCUUGUUUUGACGGUUUCUCCAGUAGCUCUGUGUUUAGGUUCACUCCUUGUUUCUAUUUGCUCUUUCAAAUCUGUUUUUGGCUCCUCAGUUUUCUGUGAUACCUGGGGAGGAAAAGCAGCACAAUCACAUCCAAAUUGUGUUUGCAGCAUCCCAGUCUCACAGAAAGAAUCCUUCAGAUUCUGGGAUCAAGCAACUUGAAGGAGAGCUGAAGUCUGGAAGAAGCUCUGGGCAGUCGCUGGAUCAGGGAUUUUGAAUUAGCCUCAUUAACAUGCAUUAAUUAGAUUUCUGCAGAGCCAGAGACAUCAGGCUUGGGGAAAACAAUAUCCUGCCUUUUGUCAGCAGCCUCACAGAUGCUCCAGAGGAAGGGGAGCUGUGCCCUCCCCAGGACCAGCAGCUCCAGGAGGGACAUUCCAGAGGGAGCACCAGCUGGGGAUGCUCAGACAGCCCCAAAAACAAGAAGUUCUGGAAGAUGCUGCCGUGGGAGAGGUGUAGGAA